rnacentral:rRNA from 1 species
CUGAAAAACUCACCGAUCGCAUGGUCCUCGUACCGGCGACGUAUCUUUCAAGUGUCUGCCUUAUCAACUUUCGAUGGUAGUUUACACGCCUACCAUGGUUGUAACGGGUAACGGAGAAUAAGGGUUCGACUCCGGAGAGGGAACCUGAGAAACGGCUACCACAUCCAAGGAAGGCAGCAGGCGCGCAAAUUACCCACUCUCGGAACGAGGAGGUAGUGACGAAAAAUAACGAGACGGUUCUCUAUGAGGUCCGUCGUCGGAAUGGGUACAAUUUAAACCCUUUAACGAGGAUCUAUGGAGGGCAAGUCUGGUGCCAUCAGCCGUGGUAAUUCCAGCUCCAAUAUCGUAUAUUAAAGUUGUUGCGGUUAAAAAG